rnacentral:rRNA from 1 species
GACGUAGGGCGCAAGCGUUGUUCGGAAUUACUGGGCGUAAAGCGCACGUAGGCGGAUACUUAAGUUAGGGGUGAAAUCCCAGAGCUCAACUCUGGAACUGCCUUUAAUACUGGGUAUCUCGAGUCCGAGAGAGGUGAGUGGAAUUCCGAGUGUAGAGGUGAAAUUCGUAGAUAUUCGGAGGAACACCAGUGGCGAAGGCGGCUCACUGGCUCGGUACUGACGCUGAGGUGCGAAAGCGUGGGGAGCAAACAGG